rfam:Cowpea polerovirus 1 isolate BE167, complete genome
UCAGAAUCAGCCCUACAUCAAGUUGCGAGUGAGGGAGAUUCAGCCUUGAUUCAG